UUUCGCUUCGUGUGGAAAGGU
rnacentral:misc_RNA from 1 species